ACCUAGAUGCAAAGCAGGAUUCAAAAGAACAUCUUUGCGUUUUCUACCGGCUCCCCAUCAUCGUACUAGGGAGGAAGAAGCGGGUGAGAAACAAAACUUCUUUCCAUUGUCCUGCCCGUUUCUGCGGACUUGUUCUGAGGCCGAGAUUCCCAGAUGUAAGGUAUUAAAAGUAGUUUGUAAACUUUCUGUGACGUAUGCUGAGUCUAUCCAAACUGUCGGGAAUUGGAGCCUCCCGGGAACCAAACACUCCC
rnacentral:lncRNA from 1 species